UUCAUGAAUUAAUAUUUUUUCUUGCCUACUCCUCCCAUUCCAUCUGCUUUCUGCGAUUCCUCUCUUUCCUUAUUCUAGACAAAAGAGUGAUUUAAAAUAAAUUAAGGAGUAGGAGGAAAAGGAAGGAGGGCUGCUGGUAGCUACGGUGAUGGGAUUGUUGAACAGUACUGCUUGUUUUUUAUUAACCAAAUAUUGUUCUUUCCAACGCCUCCCAUACCGAUGAUCUCCUGUUGUUUCCUCCCCUUCACUAUGUUGUGCUGCUUAUCAUCCUUCUCAUCUCAUAUCCUCUAGGUUGAGAACAGCUGCCUUUGGAUGAUUGUCGUUGGCCACAUGAUGAUGACGAUGCUAUUUCUUUCUUUUUUUUUUUCAAAAAAAGUUUGGCCUUUCCUUGGACGGGUUAAUCUGGUUUUAUUGGGGGAGGUGGUUAUAUGCCUGGAAAAAGGAUUUUUUUUCCCUCUUUGAUGUUCAGUAUACAAAAGCUAGGGGCUGGUUAUGAAAUACCGUUGAAAAGAUUAAAGGAAGUUUUGAUAUGUUGAUAGAUCUGGGUAAAUCAUUUGUUAAUCUUGCAAAAUUAGGAUCAGCAACUGAUAAAUCAUGGGUCAUGUAAUGAGAACUGUGAUAUUCAUAACAUAUUUGUUAGUUCCUCUUUUGAUUCUGGGGGUGUUGUCUUAGUUAAACUGCACUGCUUAGCUCUGAUGUUCUGGGACUUAUUAUUUCAAUUUGGAAUUUAUUUUGAGC
rnacentral:sRNA from 1 species